ensembl:lncRNA
CGUCGUGGGGUUGGCUGACAAACGGCUGUCUGAGCGUAUGCAGCUGGAUCAUGAGCUGACCUUGGAAAAAGCAAUAGCAAUGGCGCGGCAAAGUGAGGAGGUGAAACGACAGCAAGCUGCGCUGAGAAGUGUGACUGACACUGUGGCUGCAGAUGCGGGCUCUGUCGACAGAGUGUACAAAGGAAAGUAUAACGUGGGGAGACCCCAAAAAGGAAAUGGUCCUAAACAGAAAUCACAUAUAGUACACUCCAGUAAGAUGAAUAGCAACCAGUGCCAUAAGUGUGGUAGCUCCCCAGCACAUGCAAAACGUGACUGUCCAGCAAAUGACGUAAAAUGUCACUCCUGUGGGAAAAAAGGGCACUACAAGCGGGUGUGCACAUCAUCAAAAACUGUGCGUGAAGUGUGUGAGGGGGACCCUGUAUUUCUUGGCAGCAUCACAGGUACUGGCGAACCAUGGAUGGUAAACUUAAACAUUAGACACAAAUGUGUGCCGUUUAAGAUUGAUACCGGCGCGGAUGUCACUGUCAUUCCAGUAGAGGUGUUUGAGGAGAUUUUUAAUAAAGACCUACCUACCCUCAAGGAUGCAACGAGGCCAUUACUUGGUCCAGGGCAAGUUCCCUUAGAUGUUGUGGGAGUUACUAGUCUGCUGCUGAAGAGAGGUGAAAAACAGUCUGAGGAAGAUGUGUACAUAAUCAGAAAUCUGCACACUGCACUUCUGGGCAGACCGGCUAUUGCAAAGCUUGAGCUUGUGGCACGAUUAGAUAACAUUGAUAUGGAAAUAUUAAAGACAAGUUAUCCAAAAUUGUGCAGCGGUCUGGGGGAAGUACGACAGCCAUAUGUUAUCAGGCUCAAACCGGGGGCUUCUCCAUUCUCUCUUAAAACCCCAAGACGUAUCCCGUUACCUUUAAUGAGUAAAGUUAAAGAAGAGCUGAGCCGUAUGGAGAUUUUGGGGGUAAUCAGCAGGGUGGAGGAACCAACGGACUGGUGUGCUGGCAUGGUGGUGGUCCCAAAGAAUUUAGGUGCUGUUCGGAUAUGUGUAGACCUCUCCAAGUUAAAUGAGUCAGUUCGCCGGGAAAAAUACAUCCUGCCAUCAGUUGAACAGACAUUAGGAAUGCUUGCUGGAGCACAGAUCUUCAGUAAGUUAGAUGCCAAUAUGGGAUUCUGGCAGAUACCAUUGUCAGAGGAUUCUGCGCGCUACACAACGUUCAUA